UACGUAGGGUGCGAGCGUUGUCCGGAAUUAUUGGGCGUAAAGAGCUUGUAGGCGGUUUGUUAUGUCGGAUGUGAAAGCCCUCGGCUUAACUGAGGAAGUGCAUCCGAAACUGGCAGGCUAGAGUACCAAAGAGGGUCGCGGAAUUCCCGGUGUAGAGGUGAAAUUCGUAGAUAUCGGGAGGAACACCGGUGGCGAAGGCGGCGACCUGGGUGGAUACUGACGCUGAGGUGCGAAAGCGUGGGGAGCAAACAGG
rnacentral:rRNA from 1 species